rnacentral:lncRNA from 1 species
AGGAUAAUAAUUUAUUAGUAUCAAGUGAUUAUUAUUUAAAAUCAAAACACAGUAUAUGAUUGCACAAGCACUUAUGAUACUCAAGAAUAAUUCAUAUUAGUUAUUUUUAAAUUAAAAAAUUAUUAUAUUUUAAAAUAUUCGCACAAUGCACGGGUACAUUUACUAGUUUAAGCUAAAAAAGACCGGCAAUUGACACUUUGAACCUCCAUAUGUUAUUUUUUGUUUGGUUAUGCAUUAACUGGUAAAGUUUGAAUAACCCAUAACUAACACUCUGUUUGGAUCAUUGUUACCCAUUAUAUUGUAGUGUAUUGUUAUCAUACAUACAAUAUUUGUUUUGAUCGUUACUUAAAAUGUAUUGUAUUAUUAAAUUUCAUUGUUUGUAACAAUGAAAAUCCCCAUUUUACGGAACAACCGAUUUGGUGUGUUCCUAUUUUUGUUAUACUAUAAGUGAAGGUGAUAUAAACAUCAUCACUUAAAUGCUCAUCUCCUACAAUUUGGGAGACUAUAUAGUAGAUUUACAACAUCACUUAGUGCAUCUAUUUUACAAUAUUAGCAGAUACCCAAACAUGCUAAUUAUGUUCACUAGCUACCUACAAGAUAGAUAAAAGCAAGCUAGUGGGUAAUUAAAAAACCACAGCAGCAGUUGAUGAGUUUCUCUUAGCUAGAUGAGAAAUAUUCAACACUUUGAUACAUCUGGACAGCUUCAUAACUAUUAAUAUUAUAAACUCUUUCUUCAGUUGGAUGCAACUUAACAACAUGAGAUUUUUGGGGAUAGUAUUUAUAAGGAGCUGUAUUAUUUUGCCUUUCUGGAGGUGAAAGUCUUUCCUUUCUUUUACCCCAAAAUUCAUCAAUAAGAUCAAACCCCUCUUGCCCUAUCUUGGCUAGCAACUGCUCUUUUCUAUGUGCCAUUUCUUUGUGUGUGUGUGUGUAAGUGGAGAAAGUUGGUGUGAUAUCUAGCUUAGUAGAGAGAAAGAGAAGAAGAUUGUGUGUUUGUUUAGAUAGUUUCAUGGCUAUAGACCCUUUAUAUAGGAACAAGAGUUCCACAAUCAUGAUAAGGUAGAAAAGGUAUUGUAUCUAAGGGUGUCUUUGGUAUUCAAAAUACUUUAAAUAUUGAACUCACAGGAAAUUACAGUAAAAAAUGUAUACUGGUCCACAAUUCCGGUUUCAUAAUAUUUGUCCAGGUUAUAUAUUAAAAAAAAAUUAUCUUAUUAUGCUUGCAUAUUAGGCUAAAUUAUGUACAUCACAUCAUUUAGAGUGCAAUUCUUUCCCAAUCCUGCUACCAUAAGAUGCUUUAUCAGCUGAGGAGUAUCUAUAUAUCGAAUGCAAGAAAAAAUGUUUAAAAAAUAUUUACACUUCAGAAAAAUAUUUCUAUAAAAAUACUUUUCAUAACAAACGUUGCUCUUCACCCAACUUGUGGUGAUUCCUUUACGAUAUUAUAUGUGUUUCUUUUUUAGAAUAAAAUUAAAAGGAAAAAAGGCAGUGUGAAGGUAGCUGAUUCUUUUAUGUGGUGGUAAUUAAGUAAAUACAUUUGGAAACGUAUAAAGUGGUCAUUAGAUUUAUAUUCUUUUUUGAUAUUUAUGACUCUUCAUCUUCAAGGAAAAGCUCCCAAAUAUUUUUGACUCUUGACCUAUCAUUCAACAAUUAAUUAUUCUCUGUCUCAAGCUCAAGAUUAAAAAAUUAUGAUCAUCAAGCAAGCCAAACUUGUGAUGGAUGUAAAAAACUAUUAAAUAAAGAGAAAACAACUUAUAUACAAUUUUACUAUUAGAUGAACAUUGAUAAAAAAUAAUGUGUUUUUCAAUACAACCAAAAAAAUAUUUAGUGGCAAUUAUAUUAUAGAUUUUUUUCUUUUGACGAUAAUAUUUAUUGUUGAAAAAAUAGAUUGUAGCAUUUGAGAAAAUAACGUUGCAUCCAGAUUAGCUAUAACUUUUAGCGGCAUUGAAAGUGUUUGUUAUAAAAUUUCAUACAUAUUAUUAUCACUAAAUAUAAUAUAACAAUAAUUAUAUUAUUAUUAUUGUUAAAUAAUUGACGAAAAAUCCUCUAUUUGUUAUAGCAUUUGAUGUGUAUGUGUUCUUUUAGUUCCUACCUUGCAUUGUGAAUACCGGUUGUGAAUUUUAAAGUGUAUUAUUUAAAUGUCUUAUUACACAUAGAUAUGUUAUUUCACUGUACUUUAUGUAGAGUAUUAAAGUAAAUGAGCAAACAUCAAAAUACUUACUUUCGUUGUCCCAAUUACAUGGUAUCUUUCAGAUUUCGAAAUUCAACCAAAUCUAUCUUCGAUUGUAAUUUUUUUAUAUAUCUUAUAAAUAUUUUUUCAAGGUUAAAUUAGAAUUUUUGAUUCUCAGAAAGUGAAAAAUAUUAUAUAAAUUGAGAUUGGGAGUAUAAAUUUUUGUCAAGUCUUUUAAAAUCAUAUGAAAAGUAUAUAAUUUAGGAUAAGUAGGUAAGUCUUUCCUAUUAAAUGGACUUCUUCUUCUUCUUCUUUAUCUAAGAGGUGGGAAUUUCUUGCUCUUUUUAAAUUUCAUCUGGUCUCUCCUUUUAAAUCUUUUCUAUCUAAGAUGAGCAAAUUAAAGUAUCUAUGCUACCUAUAGAUAUAUCAUUGUACUAAUUAACUAUUAAUUACUUACUUACUAGUAUAAUUUAAAAAUACCAAAAGUUGUAUACAUAAAGUGCUAAAGACUAAAGUUCACUAGCCAAAUCUUGGUAAGGGUCCUACCUACACCAUAGGUUUAUGAUUGUUAAAGGGAAUAUGUAUCUUUUUAUUAACUAUAUAUGUCGUCUAUAUCUGAUCCACAAUUCAAUUAUUGUUUUCUCUUGGUUGCGUGGGGAUAGUGGCAAUGGUAAUAUUCUUAUAUAUCAAUUAUACGAAUAGGAAAGAUAAGGUUUCCACCGCCUUGCUAAAUGAAAAAAGGUUUAUGGAUAUACCACUUCUACACUUUUUAGAGAGAAUAUAUAAUUGAGGUUCGAAAGAACAAGAUUUACUAUAAAAAAAAAUGGAAUUUAGCCACACAAAGGGUCAUGGCUAUAUGGUACACACUGUGGCUAAACACACUUCGCCACAGUUCCAUUCAUCAUUCAGUUGAAACUACAGCGUGCUGCUUUUCAUAUCUACAAAUGCUAUGCUUGUUACCAAAAUUUGUCUUCCCUAAAUUAUGCGAAUGUCACGACCCAAAAAUGGAUGUGAUGGCACUCGUCUUAUCCCACCAAGACAAGUCAACCUAAAACCCAACCAUUUUGAUAAAGUGCGGAAACAAAAUAAAAAUAAAAGUUCAAUAACAAUUACUAAUCCGAAUAACAAGUCAACUUAAUUCAAUCCCCAAAACAUGGUUGUCACGUGCACAAGCUUCUAAUGUAAAUACUAGAAUUGAAAUAAUAUACCCAAGUCUCAAAUGACGUUGUCUUUGAAGUAAAAACAAAAUCAUAAACAGGAGUAAGAAGGUCCGCUGAGAUGACAAACAACUACCUGACAAAUCUCCACAGAAAGCCUCAGAAACGAAGAGAAUAGAAGGUAUCACGAAGAUCCGGGCUCGUAACCUACAAAAAUUUGUAGAAGCAAGGGGUUAGUAUCAAACCACACGGUACUCAACAAGUAAACUUCUAAACACAAGCUAAGGGAACAGAGUACGGGUACUCCUUACACCCCAUCCAAACCUCCACACUACAACCUGCAUAAAACCAGUCCAACCUAACAGUUCAUAGUUUACAUAACACAGCUCAACAACAACACUCAAACAAAUUACAUAUCCUCAACAACAAACUCAAUACUCAUCAAUCACAAUUUCCACACAAAGGCACUCACAAGAUCAACAACACACAAGAUCAAGUUCAUCAUUGAUAAAAAUGUACAAUGCAAUGUCAAGUAUAGUGAUGCAUGUUUGACCUAACGAUACACACCCGCUGUCCCUCAGUCCGGGACCCAUGGGGAACAUAUCUGUCCAUGCAUCCGUCACGGCGCGCGACAUGUCCCUCAAUAAUAGUAUCCAUUGCGGCGUGCGAUACGUCCCUCGAAAUAUAGUAUAUGUCACGGCGUGCGAUACGUCCCUCGAAAUGGUACAUCCUCUUUAAUUUCUUACUCUUUCUCAAUUCACAUAACACUUGUCACAAUUAUGUCUCAGAACAAUGCAAAUGACACGUUCACACAAAUAAUGAGGAGAUGACUAUUUUCAUAAUAAUGCACAAUUCAUAACAACACAAUGAUUCAACUGUUAGAAAAUAGCAUACACAACGAAAGCAUUCCAGAAUCAUACAUCUUGCAUGAGUAUAGACAACAAUCACAAAUACGUAUCACAUACAAGGUAUGCUGAAAAAAGUGAUCCCAAAUAACAAUUGAACUCUCUCAAUACUUGAGUGGGCAAGUAUCGUAUAGAAUCUUGCAUUCUCUCACUUUUUUCUAGAUCAGACGAAUCCCUACUUAUAGAGAUUUCUUCCUAGUCUAAAGAGGAUUCCUUUUCUUUCAAGAAAACCAAGAAACACACGUUUCUUUUUUUUUCAAGAAGAAACACGCUUCUUUUUUCUUUUUACCAGAAAAUAAGAUUCUGAGUUCUAGUUAAAUUGGGCACUGGAGGGACCACAUAAUUUAUUGCUGAGGCUUCCUAUUAUGGAAAUAAUUCCAAACCAUUAAUUUGAAUUAUUCUUACCAUAAUAAAUUACAAAUCAUUCCACUAGAAAUUCGUAAUUGCACUCCUCUAUUUAUAUUUCGAAAUUCACCAUUAAACACUUAUGUAAUUCCCCAUGUUAAGAUUCCAGAUACCAAUCAAUAAAUUAAAUUACUGACGAAUUUAAUUUAAUGAUUAAUUUCCUUUAGAGCAAUACUUAACUUAUUUCAUGUGCCAGAUUCAUAAAUCUACCGGCCGGGUUUACACAUGAAAACUUAUAAGUUUCUCAUAAAAAGGUGUAUCAUCAAUCUCUAUACUGAGACAUGGAUUCCAUCAACUAACUAAUUAUUUCACCAAUAUGUAUUAUUAUCAUCCAAUCUACCAGGCAUAUUGACCCAUCUCAGAAUCUCACCUUUUAAUAAAUCAAAACGAUAAUUAAUAUAUACAGAUCAUAAUCGUUAUAUCAAGAUUAAGAAUAUAAGUACAAUUAACAGUUUAGAGAAUAUGUUUUUAUCAGUCAGUCUAAAACAUCUAUCUCUACUCGAUCAAGUUCAAUACAUACAAAAUGCACUAGCACUAGAAGUUAGAACUAUACCAUUCUCAUAAUCAAGAUAAAAUGCAUUUAAUCUCGUGCUACAAUCUUUCUGAUGGUUUUAUCCAAAUUUCCAUCUACGAUUGUGAACUAUAACUUUUAACUUAUAAGAACCGAUGAUUUAAUCUUCUGUGUAUAAGCUUAAACUCUAUACACCAAAUCAUCUACUAUAUAAGUUAAGGACACAUAUAUGACAAUUGAUCUAUUUAAUGUAACAAUUUAUUGAAUUGAAUAAAUGAAUAAACAAUUGUUCAAUAAUAAUACUAUAUCAAAACGCAUGGUUAAUAGUAUAUCCUAACAUCAACAAGCCUUUCAAACCAUUCACAAUACAUCAUAUUCAUUUUUGGGUUGUGACAGCGAACAUCAAAAUCCAUCUCACAAUCAAGAAUUUAAAAUCAAUUGGAAAGAUGAAAAAUUUCCCUCUUAUCAAUGAAUACCCACGGGUCUUUUUGACUAAGCAGUCAGACAUCAACAGUCGUAAAAUCUUUGGUUUGUGGGCUUCAAAAUCCAACUGUUUAUAAAUAGAAGUAACAUCAUACUGAUGCCAGCACCAAAGUGACAUAGCGCCUUAGUCCUUAGAAAAUUAAAGUUGAAUGCUCCAAUGAUGCAUGGAAUAGUGAAUACACCGGAGUUUUCUUUCUUCUAAACUAAUGACUUCAUAGCAAUAGCACUACAGUGAUGCAAAUUAUCUAUUAGAUCAAAAUUGAAAGUUUCAUCUUCUUCAUAAAGAACUUGGCAUAACUCGACAUCUUCUCGAGGUUCUUAAUUAGUGGAAUAUUCACUAAUAGUUUUUUCAACAUAGAGAUGAACUAAAAAAACUUCCCGUCCUCCACUUUCUUCUUCAAUAUUUGUGGGAGAAUAUAUGCGGGUGGAGGUCUAAAAAUUGGAGUUGAAGUCCUCAUAGCCACUAUUUCUUGUCCAUUUGUUCCCAUAGCUCCUCCGCCUCACCUGGUGAAACAUCAAUUUUUUCGCCUUUUUAGAAUCAACUGAAAUCUCAUAAUCAUCCUCAUUUUCUGCCAUAAGUACUCUUAAUUCAAAUUUAACAUCUUCUCCCUACUCAUUACUCACAAACUCGUUCUGAUAGUACUUUACCACUUCUAGUAAUACACUAGCCAUCCUUUCUUAAGUUUUGAGUAGUAUCACUAAGCAAAGUACCAUUCGUAAUCUUGUAAUGUCUAUGUGUUCCUAUUCAUUAUAUCAAUAAAAUUCUCAUCUUCGAUCUAAUUUCGUCUUAUAAAUAUAAUUACGUAUUACAAUCACAUUCUAGGGUAUUACAGAUCUUCCGGUGACGCCAAGGGACCUCUAAGGAUGGAUUAGUUUUAAUUCACAUUCGUUAGUGUUGGGUUUAGCAAGAAAGUGUGAAUGGGAAAUAAAAAGAGAAAAUGGAAAGUGGAAGAACCAAUGAAAGUGGGGGAAUCAAUUUUGGAGGGAAAAUGAAAAGUCAUUGCAAAGUGCAAAUGAAAAGUCAUUUUUACUAUAUUGGUAGAAGAAAGGAAAUUGUUGUCCUUAUAUUAGGAAACACUUCCUUUAGUUCUUAAAAGGUUAAGAAGAAGGUGCCCCCUCGCGCCGUCGUCGUCGCUCGCUCAGCCUCAGCCUCGGCUUCGGCUUCGGAUUUGGAUUUGGAUGUGAUUGAUAAAAAAAAAUUUGGACAAAAUUUAUUUAAUCAAUCUUUUUAAUUCAUUUCUUUUCUCUUAUAAAUUAAUUCAGAAUGUUAGUUAAAUAACGGAAUUAAUUUCACAACGAUUUAUUUGAAAUUCACGCGUAACGGUAAAUUCGUUUGAAAGGAUUUGUUCCUUUCGAAAAGUCGUUAUUUUUCCCAAAAGACACAACAUUCUGAAAAAAAUGGAUCUGAACAAACGCGUUCCUUGCUGCUAAUGGCUAUAAAUAAGAGGUCGUUUUCAUUUUUCAAACACUGAAAAUUUUCCCUCACUGCAUACAUUUUCUUACAUAAACAAAAUUAGUUGAUCGACUGAGUUUGUGUGUGCUCUUGUUGUUGUUCUUGCGCUCGCUGAAGUUAUUGAAAUUUGAGGUAUCGCAACUUUUUUAACAGGUUAAUCCAUUUUAUCUUAGGAGGAAUUAAUCUACAACUUCGGGUAUAGUGAGGGGAUUAAAUUUCUUAAGGAAACACAGUGGUUUCUGUGGACUCGAAUUAAAAAUCAUUCUGUAUUUGUGACUAACCUGAAUACAGGAGAUAACAAUCUUAAGAAAUUUAAUAGUUUCUGUAUUUGAGGUUUCUGGAGAUUAAAAACCUUUAUGAUUUUCUACUGUUUGAAUUUUUAAAAUUCAUUCGAUUAACGAUUAAAAGAACAUAAAAACUUUUUCGUUAAAUCAUAAACAGUCUGUGUAAGGAUUUAUUUCACAUACUAAAAUUGUCUGUCAUUUGUGACAGAAAAAUGACUAAUUCAAGUCAAGUAAAUGUUGGAACAGUAAAUGCUGCAACAACAUCAGUUGCACACAAUCGUUCAACUGUUGCCCUAGCACCGGCUGAGAAACCUACAAAGUUUUCUGGAGUCGACUUCAAGAGAUGGCAAUAAAAGAUGUUCUUCUAUCUGAAUACGUUGAGUCUGCAGAGGUUCAUUAAUGAAAACGUUCCUGUUAUGUUAGAUGAAACUCCGCCUGAAGAACGAUUCUUGGUAACAGAAGCAUCGACACAUUCUGAUUUUUUGGGUAAAAUUGUAUUUUGAGUGGCUUGCAGGAUGAUCUGUACAAUGUGUACAGUAAUGUCAAAAUCUCAAAAGAACUCUGGGAUGCUUUAGAAAAGAAGUACAAAAUAGAGGAUGCCGGAAUGAAGAAGUUCAUUGUGGCAAAGUUUUUGGACAAUAAAAUCGUCGUCACCCAAGUUCAAGAAUUGCAGGUCAUAAUCCAUGAUCUCCUUGCUGAAGGUAUAAAUUUAUUUAAUACUUAUGUUGAAAAUAUUAAGUCUAUUCUUAAUACUCACAUAAUCUUUAAUGUAGGAUUGGUUGUGAAUGAUGUUUUUCAAGUGGCUGCCAUUAUUGAGAAGUUACCUCCAUUAUGGAAGGACUUCAAAAACUACUUGAAACAUAAACGCAAGGAGAUGACUGUUGAAGAUCUCAUGGUAAGGCUAAGAAUCGAAGAGGAUAACAAGGCCACAAAAAAAGAGGUCACGUGGUAAUUCAGCAAUAUCUGGAGUAAACAUUGUUGUAGAAGAUCCCACAAAAUCAAAGAAAAGAAAGAAAGCAUCUGGUCCAAAAAGCAAUCCUCCUAAAGAAGAAAGUUCAAUGGAAGCUGCUUCAAUUGUGGCAAAACGUGGUCAUAAGACUACUGAAUGUCGGGGUCCCAAGAAGGACAAGAAGAAGAAUCAAGCAAAUUUGGCUGAAUCCAAAGGAGAGAUGGACGAUCUUUGUGCAGUGCUUUCAGAAUGCAACUUGGUUGGAAAUCUAAGAGAGUGGUGGAUAGAUUCUGGUGCCUUAUGCCAUGUUUGUGCCAAUAAAGAAUUAUUUUCAUCAUAUACUCCAGCACCUACAGACGAGAAGUUGUUCAUGGCAAACUCUGUUGUUGCAAAGGUGGAAGGAACUGACAAAGUCCUCUUAAAGAUGACAUCGGGCAAGGUGGUGACUUUGAACAGGGUCUUGUAUGUUCCGGAAUUGCGAAAGAACUUAGUUUCUAUACCAAUUCUGACUAAGAAUGAAUUCAAAUAUGUAUUUAUUUCUGAUAAAGUUGUAGUGAGUAAGAAUGAAAUGUAUGUAGGAAAAGGUUACCUCACUGAGGGCCUCUUUAAACUCAAUGUAAUUGCAGUUGAUAUGAAUAAAGAUUCUGCUUCUUCUUACUGCUUGAGUCUAAAUGUUUAUGGCAUAAACGUUUAGGACACAUUAAUAACAAAACCUUGCGAAAACUGAUUAACUUAAAUGUUUUACCUAAAUUUGAGUUCAAUAAAUCAAAAAGUCAAGUGUGCGUUGAAUCUAAGUAAGCUAAGCAUCAUUAUAAGUCUGUUGAAAGGAAUUCAUAUCCCUUAGAACUGAUUCACACGGACAUUUGUGACAUGAAGUCAACACCAAUACGUGGUGGGAAAAAGUAUUUCAUAACUUUUAUUGACGAUUGCACUAGAUAUUAUUAUGUCUAUUUUUCUAAAUGGUAAGGAUGAAGCAAUAGAUGCAUUUAGGCAAUAUAAAACUGAAGUUGAAAAUCAGUUGGAUAGAAAGAUCAAAAUGAUCAGAAGUGAUAGAGGUGGAGAAUAUGAAUCUCCAUUUGCAGAAAUAUGUUUGGAAAAUGGAAUCAUCCAUCAAACUACUGCACCUUACUCUCCUCAAUCUAAUGGAAUUGCGGAAAGAAAAAACCAAACUUUAAAGGAAAUGAUGAAUGCCUUACUUAUAAGUUCAGGUUUACCACAAAACUUGUGGGGAAAGUUAUCCUUACAGCAAAUCGAAUACUCAAUAGAGUGCCUCACACAAAGACACAUGUUAUUCCAUAUGAGAAAUGGAAAGGUAGAAAACCCAACUUGAAAUAUUCAAAGUGUGGGGGUGUCUAGCCAAAGUCCAGGUCCCUAUACCUAAGAGGGUGAAAAUAGGGCCUAAGACUGUGGAUUGUGUAUUCAUUGGAUAUGCCACAAAUAGUAAGGCAUGUCAUUUUUUUGGUUCAUAAGUCUAAAUAUCCGGAUAUUCAUGAUAAUACGGUAAUGGAAUCAGAUAAUGCUGAAUUUUUUGAACAUAUCUAUCCGUAUAAAACUAGACUUGAGUCAUCUAGUGGGGGGUCUAAACAACCUCGAGAAGAACCAAAAGAGAAUGAAACAAAUGAAGAGAGUCCAAGGCGCAGUAAACGUCAAAGGACAGCUACUUCAUUUGGAUCUGAUUUUUGUAGCAUUCCUUCUUGAAAGUGAGCCUCAAACAUUCAAGGAAGCAAUGUUGUCUAGCGACUCAACCUCUUGGAAGGAGGUUGUCAAUAGUGAGAUUGAAUCAAUCUUAAGCAAUCAUACUUAGGAGUUGGUUGAUCUUCCUCCAGGGAACAAACCUUUGGGUUCAAAAUGGAUCUUCAAAAAGAAGAUGAAAGAUGAUGGAACUAUUGACAAAUAUAAAGCAAGAUUGGUUGUCAAAAGCUUUAGACAUAAAGAAGGUCUUGAUUAUUUUGACACAUACUCGCCAGUGACUAGGAUUACAUCAAUUCGGAUGUUAAUUGCCCUAGCUGCAAUAUACGGUCUUGAAAUCCAUCAAAUGGAUGUGAAAACCGCCUUCUUAAAUGGAGAGCUGGAGGAAAAGAUUUACAUGGAACAGCCUGAGGGCUUCGUAGUUCCCGGUAAAGAAAAGAAAUAUGCAAACUUGUAAGUCACUUUAUGGACUAAAACAAGCACCAAAACAACGACAUGCAAAGUUUGAUCAAACCAUGUUGUCAAAUGGAUUUAAGAUCAAUGAGUGUGAUAAAUAUGUUUACAUUAAAGACACUCCAGAUCAGGAAGCCAUUGUAUGCCUAUAUGUGGAUGACAUGCUGAUAAUGAGCAAGGACAUUGCCAAUGUAAAAGCUACUAAGCGUAUGCUUGCUAGUAAGUUUGAUAUGAAAGAUCUAGGAGUAGCCGAUUUGAUAUUGGGAAUAAAGAUUCACAAAAUUCCUAACGGUGUAGCAUUGUCUCAAUCUCAUUAUAUUCAAAAGGUACUUGAAAAGUUCAAGUAUUUGAAUUUCAAAAAAGCAAAAACCCCAAUUGAUGUGAACCUUAAUAAUGCUAAGAAUAAAAGUGAAAGUCAGUCUCAAUUGGAUUAUGCCAGAGUAUUGGGAAGUUUGAUGUAUGUUGUGAAUUGUACAUGACCAGACAUAGCCUACGCUAUAAGUAAACUGAGUCGAUACACAAGUAAUCCCAAUCAAAAUCAUUGGUUGGCAAUGAAGAGAGUUUUGGGGUACUUAGAAGACACUCAAAACUAUGUUUUGCAUUACAACAAAUAUCCAGCAGCUCUUGAAGGAUAUAAUGAUGCAAAUUGGAUUACUGGGUCAACUGAAACGAAAUCCACGAGUGGAUAUGUUUUCACUAUUAGUGGAGGAGCAAUAUAUUGGAAAUCAUCCAAACAAACAUGUAUAGCUCGCUCUACAAUGGAGUCUGAAUUCAUCACCUUAGACAAGGCAGGUGAAAAAGCUGAAUGGCUCCGGAAUUUGUUAGAAGAUAUUCCAUUUUGGCCCAAACCAAUGGCCCAUAUAUGCAUACACUGCGAUAGUCAAGCUGCAAUAGGAAGAGCUGGAAGCGUUAUGUAUAACGGGAAGUCUCGUCACAUAAGAUGAAGACAUAACUCUGUUAGACAACUACUCUCUAGUGGAAUUAUCACAAUUGACUAUGUAAAGUCAAAGGAUAAUGUGUCGGAUCCACUUACAAAAGGCCUAACUAGAGAGGGAGUUGAGAGAUCAUCGACGGGAAUGGGACUAUGGCCGAGAACAAGUCAUCGUGGCGGUUACUCUACCUAGAAUACUGGAGAUCCCAAAAUCUAGGUUCAAAGAGAUAAAACAAAGUCAUAGAUGACGGUUCAACAUUGUCAAAAAUUAUUUUAUGUCCAUUCUCAUGAUGAGACAAUGUUCAGUAACCUUAAUAAAGGCAUAAGGACUUUUUAAUGGUUUCUAAGUUUGAUACAGGGUAUAUCAAAUAGUGUAUCUACGAGAUAACACAUUUAGAAAACCACCUAUGUAAGUGUGAAGUGUAAGUCGCUUCAAGGAGAAUCCGGUAAGGCCAAUUCUCUAAGCACUUAUUAACCGAGAUGUGUUCAUGGUUGAAAACGAACAAAAACAAUGAGAACCAAAAACAGUUCAAGGGUUGAUUGUGUGACUUAUGUUGUCUAGGUAUACACCAAAGCUCGACGGUUCAAAUAUAUCAAAUCUACCGAUUGACUGAGUAUAUCCGAUAUAUGUUCACUACGGAAAGUUUAAAGAGAAACCUACUUAUCCAGAUGUGAUUAACCCUUACUUACAAGACACACAAGUUUUUCAUGCAUAUGUUUUAACUAUAGCCAUUCCCCAUUCAUGUGGGGGAUUUUUGGGUUUAGCAAGAAGGUGUGAAUGGGAAAUAAAAAGAGAAAAUGGAAAGUGGAAGAACCAAUGAAAGUGGGGGAACCAAUUUUGGAGGGGAAAAGAAAAGUCAUUGCAAAGUGCAAUGAAAAGUCAUUUUUACCAUAUUGGUAGAAGAAAGGAAAUUGUUGUCCUUAUAUUAGGAAACACUUCCUUUAGUUCUUAAAGGGUUAUGAAGAAGGUGCCCCCUCGCGCCGUCGUCGUCGCUCGCUCGGCCUCGGCUUCGGCUUCGGCUUUGCAAAAUUUAUUUAAUCAAUCUUUUUAAUUCAUUUUUUUCUCUUAUAAAUUAAUUCAGAAUGUUAGUUAAAUAACUAAAUUAAUUUCACAAUGAAUUAUUUGAAAUUUGCGCGUAACGGUAAAUUCGUUUGAAAGGAUUUGUUCCUUCCGAAAAGUCGUUACUUUUCCCAAAAGACACAACGUUCUGGAAAAAAUAGGUCUGAACAGACGCGUUCCUUGCUGCUAAUGGCUAUAAAUAAGAGGUCGUUUUCAUUUUUCAAACACUGAAAAUUUUUCCUCACUGCAUAAAUUUUCUUACAUAAACAAAAUUGUCGAUCGACUGAGUCUGUGUGUGCUCUUGUUGCUGUUCUUGCGUUCGCUGAAGUUAUUGAAUUUUGAGGUACCGCUACUUCUUUAAUAGGUUAAUCCGUUUUAUCUUGGAAGGAAUUAAUCUACAACCUCAGGUACAGUGAGGGGAUUAAAUUUCUUAAGGAAAUACGGUGGUUUCUGUGGACUCGGAUUAAAAAUCAUUCUGUCUAUUUCAUCUUUUUCUGUUUCUGUAUUUGUGACUAACCUGAAUACAGGAGAUAACAGUUAGAAGUUAUGCUAAAAAGACUAGCAAUUGACACUUUGAACCUCCAUAUGCCCUCUUUUUUUGUUUGGUUACGCAUUAUAAUUAACUGGGAAAGUUUGAAUGCUUCCCUUUAGUGCUUAUUUAUAAUAUAUAUUUGGAUCAAGAAAUUACAUAAGAUGGAAGUUAUUUUCGUUUACUUAAGUUGUAAAAGGAGGUAAGGUCCCACGCUCACCUCCAUUGACUUGUAUCUUUAAUUUGUUUAGUUUCUAUUGACGCAUUAUAAGGGGUCUUGCCAAAAAAAAAAAAAAAACUAUAAGAAAGUUAGGAAAUUCUCGGUUGAAAAAACAUUUUCUUAAUAAAAACAUCUAAUCCUCUCGUUUUUAUGUUAUCCUAAAUAAAUUAGUAUUCUCAGGCUUGUAUAAAUUCAAGUUUGUACGAUUUUGUUCGAAGAAUUGUAUGUCACACCCCGAUCCUACACCCUAGACGUGGCCGGCACUUGGGAACAAUCGAUGGUCCCCAAGCGAACUCUUGGCCUAGCUGACUACCUAGGCGUGAAAGACCUACUCAAGCAAAACAAACUUAGAAAUAGAAUUAUAAACGUUUAAGCUCAACAAUUUCUCAAUUCAACUGUCUAAAAAUACUUAAGUUCAGAAAUAGUAAUACUCUGUAAAACAGUCUCAAACAUCUCAACAAAAGGGAAAGUGAUGUGAGACUCCUCAACUAUAACUAUCUAUGAAGCGUCUAAAUACUAAGAUAGGUAUCGGGACAGGAUCCAUAACAACUUUAACAAAAGAAAGAAAUAAGUGUGAAGCCCUCCGGAAAGCAAAGAGGCUCACCAAAUCUAGUUGGAGUACAAGUGGUAUCAACGAAGAGCUUGUUGAUGACUCUGAACACCUGUAUUUGCAUCAUAAAUAAGAUGCAGGUCGAAUGAUAUCAGUACAUUGAAUGUACGAGCAUGUAAGGGGAAACUGAAAACAUAGAUAACUGAACUAAUAAGACUGAAAGACAUACUCACCUCAACUCAACUCGAAUAUAAAAGCAAUAACAAGAGAUGCAAUGUUUAAAGCGUUAUAAACAAAAUAUAUAAACUCAAUGAUGUAUAAAAUACAAUAAGUUAUUCUUUACUCUUAUUUGGGAGAUUCUCUAACCGACAAUCAUCACUAUGAGCUAUGUGAUGAUACAAAGUCUCGUUCAUGCUGUCAGAACUAUCUGAUACCUUGCUGGGGUAUAGAACACCUCAACUAAGUGGAUCCACAAUGCUAUGCUUAAAAGUAAUAAAGAGUCAUCUAAAAAGUAUAAUCAUUUACCCAUGUUGGCUACAUGGUUUAUGAGGAGUUUGAUUGUCUGAACUUAUCCCCAUAUCGGUGCUCAAUACUACUCUUAAUAAAUAUAUACUCAUGCUCAAUGUUAAAACAUUCUCUUUCUCAAUUUAAGGUAAUUACUCAAAAGAUCCUCUUAAAAGAGGUAAUGCUCUGAAAUAUCUCUAAACUCAUAAACUUAUUUGGAAAUCAUAGCUUCUCUUUUUUAAAUGUAAACGUGUUACUUUUGGGAAUACUUAAUUCCCUUAUAUCAUUUCUCAAACAUGAAUACAACUCUUCUCAUUUCUCAUAAUUACUUCCUCAAAACUUAGUUCAAAACCAUUUUUUAUUACAAAAGAUUCUCAAAGCAACUUAAAAAGACUUCUGGAACUUUCCUCUUAAACUCACUUUAAUUUUUAAUGUAAAUUAAGACAUGUGAUUUUAACAUGUAGUAAUUCUCAAAGGUUAAUGCAGUUUAUAGAAGCUAAUACAAAGGAGAAAAUGUAGUCACGACUCAAAGGAAUACGUCUGAAACGAAGCACGAAAGGAAAAAGGCCAGGCAACCUUAGCGCAGUGUUGGUGUGGGGAACCAGGCCCCAAACUACUGAAUAAAGUUUGGGGCGCACUGCUGACGUGGGGCGCUAGGCACCAAACUACAGAGAAAAAGUUCUGGUGCUAUGAGUGGCGCGCCUCCCCACACCCCUGCCCAGAUUUCUAACAAAUUUUUUAAGCCAAAACAAGGUCCCAACUAGUUUAGAAUGGGGAGAAUUCUUCUAAACUCUUCUUGAUACUCAAACCCAACACUAAUACAAAAGGAAUUCCAUACAAUCCUUUUGGAAAAUCAAACUUCUACCAAAGAUCAACAACACAAAAGAAUUCACAACCUCCAUUGUUCAAGAAUUAAAGAAAAAUCAAGAAUUACUCAAGAACUCUUUGAAUACAAUAAUUUCGUGGAUAAAUUCAAAUGUAUGAUGUGAGGAUGAACAAGUAAAACACUGUGAGAAGCCUUACAUACCUGGAAAGAACAAUGUUCUUAGUGAAAUUCACAACUCUUGAAAGAACGCUUGAAACCCUGCCCUUCUCUUCUCUUGAAACCCAGCUCGGAAACUCUAAGUGUUUAGGAACGUGAAAAAGUGGUAUAAAUAUGAUUAGACCCUUAUUUGGGGUGAACAAAACGUGGUUAAGCCUAGUAGGAAAAGGAAAAGACCAAAAUACCCUUCUAAAAAUGAAUGAGAUGCCUUAACUAGAGAGGCUUCACUCAAACGGGCAUAACUUCUUACUCCAAGCUCGAAAUUAUGCAAACUUGGCAGCGUUGGAAAGAGGACUCAAAUACCUUCAAUUAGAUAGGUUACAGGCCACCUAAUUCUUUAUGUGCUAAAAAAUAUGGUCAUUUGAAAUUGACCAAAAACUACAAAUUAAUGGUGACUUGUACGAAUUUCUCUUUAGUUCUUUUUUAAAUCUGAGGCGUUACAAUAUUACCUUCUGUGAACUAAGUCUCAUAUAUAUAGCCCAUCAUGGAAGAAUAAAGAGCUUCUCAAACCUAGUACUGAAUAACCCAUAACUAUAUUAAGACUUACGGGUCAACCCACCACCAAGAUUAAAAGUGCUCAUCCGGAGAGAUUUAUUAUGUUUAGCCCAUAUUGUUGUUUGAGUAUAUAUAGUUAUGGCUAUAAAAGCCCACAAACUUCUUAUUUGUGUUAUUCUUCAACUACUCAAGUGAAGAAGCCUCGCUACGUACACCUACUAUAUCAUCACUCCCCACCUCCAUUCUAUUGCCACAUCGAACCAUUGGUUCUUAAAUUAGUUUGUUGGCUAUAUAGAAUAUCAGCUCAUACCAUUUAAAUAUGUCAUAACAUUUAUUUUAAAUAGAGUAUGAAUAAGAACUCCGUAGUAAAUAUACUAUAUAUUAUUCCUAUUGUGUAAAGGCAGUAUAGUUUAGUUUUGGUCGAGUCAAGGGACUUAAUCUGGUCGGUCUUCUGGUAUUGGGACUAAUGAUAAGGGGAGUGAACGAAACCAAGGGACGACAGUUGUAGAGGAUGAAUAUUAGUUUGUCAUCAUCAAACAGAGGAAAAUUGUUAUUUUAACUUAUGUCUAAAGUUUUGAUAAUUGAACAAACUUUGGACAUGAUCCCUGACGAAGCUGUGAAUUUUGUACAGGAACACUACAGGUGUCCAAAAGCCUGCAAAACUUGUGGUUGGUGUGUGGCUCCCAUGGUAUAGCAGACCCUCAGCUAUUGUUUAGUAGUUACUGGUAGUAGAGUUGCUGCAGUAAGGGGGAAGAGAUUAAAGAGUUUUAAUUCCUAGGUUACAAGAGCUUGUAAUCUGAAUAGUUGCUCCUUAUAUAGUUAAAUGGAGUUGGAUUGAAAUCAUGUGAGUACAUGUCGUGGUUUUCUCCUCCCUUGAGCAAGGAGGUUUCCACGUAAAACGGUUGUGUCUCUUUUACCUUGUGUUAUUUACUUUCUACAUUUCUAUUUUAUCAAGGGACCUGAUCCAUUGACUGUUCGUGGAUGCAUACAUUCUAUCAACUCUCGUUCCCAAUUUAUAUGACUUACUUUCCUUUUUAGUCAGUCUAAAAAAGAAUGACACAUUUCUAUAUUGAGUAACAAUUUAACUUUAAAAUGUCCAUUUUACCUUUAAUGAAAUGAUUUAUAGUCACACAAAUUUCUACCAUUCAUUUUAGACCACAAGUUUUAAGUCUUCCUUUCUUUCUUAAACUCCAUGUUAAGUCAAAUUAAUUCACAUAAAAUGGGAUAAAAGGGAGUACAUGUUUUGCUUAUUGGGUUGAUAAUAUUAAUUCUUUUCAAACAAUAACAACCCCAAAAAGAUAUAUACCAAGAAGUAGAAAGAAUAAGAGAAAAUGAAAGGGGAAAUUAGAAAAUUACUUUCAUAACUAAAUCCCAAAGAGAGGAUGGCAUAUAGCAUAGCAUUUUUUGUUACUAUAAGUGAAGGUGAUAUAAACAUCAUCACUUAUAUGCUCAUCUCCUACAAUUUGGGAGGCUAUAUAGUUGAUUUACAACAUCACUUAGUGCAUCUAUUGUACAAUAUUAGCACAUACCCAAACAUGCUAAAUAUGUUCACUAGUUAACUACAAGCUAGAUAAAAGCAAGCAAGCUAGCUAAUGGAUAAUUAAAAAGCCACAGCAGCAGUUGAUGAUUUUCUCUUAGAUGAGAAAUAUUCAACACCUUGAUACAUCUGGACAGCUUCAUAACUGUUAAUAUUAUAAACUUUUGCUUCACUUGGAUGCAACUUAACAACAUGAGAUUGUUGGGGAUAGUAUUUAUAAGGAGCUUGAUUAUUUGGCCUUUGUGGAGGUGAAGGUCUUUCUUUUCUUUUCCCCCAAAAUUCAUCAAUAAGAUCAAACCCUUCUUGCCCUAUCUUGGCUAGCAACUGCUCUUUCCUAUGUGCCAUUUU